AGAGUUUGAUCAUGGCUCAGCCUGAACGCUGGCGGCGUGGCUAAGACAUGCAAGUCGUACGGGUGUAGCAAUACACCAGUGGCGGACGGGUGAGUAAUGUAUCGCUAACGUGCCCCGGAGUCUGGGAUAGCUGCCCGAAAGGGCAGGUAAUACCAGGUGAUAUAUCCGAAUCGCAUGAUUUGGAUCUCAAAGGGAAACCGUUCUGGGAGCGGGCGAUAUCGUAUCAGCUAGUUGGUAGGGUAACGGCCUACCAAGGCGACGACGCGUAGCCGGACUGAGAGGUUGGCCGGCCACAUUGGGACUGAGACACUGCCCAGACUCCUACGGGGGGCUGCAGUAACGAAUCUUCCGCAAUGCACGCAAGUGUGACGGAGCGACGCCGCGUGUGGGACGAAGUCCUUCGGGAUGUAAACCACUGUCAGGGGUUAGAAAGUUCUGAUCAACCCCAGAGGAAGGCACGGCUAACUCUGUGCCAGCAGCCGCGGUAAGACAGAGGUGCCAAGCGUUAGGCGGAAUCACUGGGCUUAAAGCGUGUGUAGGUGGACUGGUAAGUACCUUGUGAAAUCCCACGGCUUAACCGUGGAACUGCUUGGUAUACUGCUGGUCUUGAGCAACCUAGGGGCGAGCGGAACAAAUGGUGGAGCGGUGAAAUGCGUAGAUAUCAUUUGGAACGCCAAUGGUGAAAACAGCUCGCUGGGGGUUUGCUGACACUGAGACACGAAAGCCAGGGGAGCAAACGGGAUUAGAUACCCCGGUAGUCCUGGCUAUAAACGAUGUCCACUAGAUCGCAGAGGCUCUGACGCCUUUGCGGUCGAAGCAAAAGUGCUAAGUGGACCGCCUGGGAAGUACGGUCGCAAGGCUAAAACUCAAGGAAUUGACGGGGGCUCACACAAGCGGUGAGCAUGUGGUUUAAUUCGAAGCAACGCGCAGAACCUUACCUGGGCUUGAAAUGUAGUGUUCAAU
rnacentral:rRNA from 1 species